AGAGUUUGAUCCUGGCUCAGGACGAACGCUGGCGGCGUGCCUAAUACAUGCAAGUCGAACGCUUCUUUCCUAUCGAGUGCUUGCACUCACUUGGAAAGAGGAGUGGCGGACGGGUGAGUAACACGUGGGUAACCUGCCCAUCAGAGGGGGAUAACACUUGGAAACAGGUGCUAAUACCGCAUGACAGUCAACACCGCAUGGUGUUGGAUUGAAAGACGCUUUCGGGUGUCGCUGAUGGAUGGACCCGCGGUGCAUUAGCUAGUUGGUGAGGUAACGGCUCACCAAGGCCAUGAUGCAUAGCCGACCUGAGAGGGUGAUCGGCCACACUGGGACUGAGACACGGCCCAGACUCCUACGGGAGGCAGCAGUAGGGAAUCUUCGGCAAUGGACGAAAGUCUGACCGAGCAACGCCGCGUGAGUGAAGAAGGUUUUCGGAUCGUAAAACUCUGUUGUUAGAGAAGAACAAGUGGGAGAGUAACUGUUCCCGCCUUGACGGUAUCUAACCAGAAAGCCACGGCUAACUACGUGCCAGCAGCCGCGGUAAUACGUAGGUGGCAAGCGUUGUCCGGAUUUAUUGGGCGUAAAGCGAGCGCAGGCGGUUUCUUAAGUCUGAUGUGAAAGCCCCCGG
rnacentral:rRNA from 1 species